rnacentral:rRNA from 1 species
GACGAACGCUGGCGGCGUGCUUAACACAUGCAAGUCGAACGGUGAAGCGCCUUCCUUUUUGGUGGGUGUGGAUGAGUGGCGAACGGGUGAGUAACACGUGAGUAACCUGCCCCCUUCUUCUGGAUAACCGCAUGAAAGUGUGGCUAAUACGGGAUAUUCUGGGUCUGUCGCAUGAUGGGUCUGGGAAAGAUAUUGUUUCGGUGGGGGAUGGGCUCGCGGCCUAUCAGCUUGUUGGUGGGGUGAUGGCCUACCAAGGCGGUGACGGGUAGCCGGCCUGAGAGGGUGGACGGUCAUACUGGGAAUGCGACACGGACCAGACUCCUACGGGAGGCAGCAGUGGGGAAUAUUGCACAAUGGGCGCAAGCCUGAUGCAGCGACGCCGCGUGAGGGAUGGAGGCCUUCGGGUUGUGAACCUCUUUCGCCAGUGAAGCAGGGCUGCCUCGUUUGUGGGUGGGUUGACGGUAGCUGGAUAAGAAGCGCCGGCUAACUACGUG